rnacentral:rRNA from 1 species
UACGUAGGGUGCGAGCGUUUGUCCGGAAUUAUUGGGCGUAAAGGGCGCGUAGGCGGCCUGGCAAGUGGAAGGUGAAAUCCCUCGGCUUAACCGAGGAACUGCCUUCCAAACUGCUUGGCUUGAGUCCGGGAGAGGUGAGUGGAAUUCCCAGUGUAGCGGUGAAAUGCGUAGAUAUUGGGAGGAACACCAGUGGCGAAGGCGGCUCACUGGACCGGAACUGACGCUGAUGCGCGAAAGCGUGGGAGCAAACGGG